rnacentral:rRNA from 1 species
AUUGAACGCUGGCGGCAGGCCUAACACAUGCAAGUCGAGCGGAUGAAGGGAGCUUGCUCCUGGAUUCAGCGGCGGACGGGUGGGUAAUGCCUAGGAAGCUGCCUGGUCGUGGGGGAUAACGUCCGGAAACGGGCGCUAAUACCGCAUACGUCCUGAGGGAGAACGUGGGGGAUCUUCGGACCUCACGCUAUCAGAUGAGCCUAGGUCGGAUUAGCUAGUUGGUGGGGUAAAGGCCUACCAAGGCGACGAUCCGUAACUGGUCUGAGAGGAUGAUCAGGCACACUGCAACUGAGACACGGUCCAGACUCCUACGGGAGGCAGCAGUGGGGAAUAUUGGACAAUGGGCGAAAGCCUGAUCCAGCCAUGCCGCGUGUGUGAAGAAGGUCUUCGGAUUGUAAAGCACUUUAAGUUGGGAGGAAGGGCAGUAAGUGAAUACCUUGAUGUUUUGACGUUACCAAAAGAAUAAGCACCGGCUAACUUCGUG